GACGAACGCUGGCGGCGUGCUUAACACAUGCAAGUCGAACGGAAAGGCCCUGCUUUUGUGGGGUGCUCGAGUGGCGAACGGGUGAGUAACACGUGAGUAACCUGCCCUUGACUUUGGGAUAACUUCAGGAAACUGGGGCUAAUACCGGAUAGGAGCUCCUGCUGCAUGGUGGGGGUUGGAAAGUUUCGGCGGUUGGGGAUGGACUCGCGGCUUAUCAGCUUGUUGGUGGGGUAGUGGCUUACCAAGGCUUUGACGGGUAGCCGGCCUGAGAGGGUGACCGGCCACAUUGGGACUGAGAUACGGCCCAGACUCCUACGGGAGGCAGCAGUGGGGAAUAUUGCACAAUGGGCGGAAGCCUGAUGCAGCAACGCCGCGUGCGGGAUGACGGCCUUCGGGUUGUAAACCGCUUUCGCCUGUGGCGAAGCGUGAGUGACGGUAAUGGGUAAAGAAGCACCGGCUAACUACG
rnacentral:rRNA from 1 species